CCUACGGGAGGCAGCAGUGGGGAAUAUUGGACAAUGGGGGCAACCCUGAUCCAGCCAUGCCGCGUGUGUGAAGAAGGCCCUCGGGUUGUAAAGCACUUUCAGUGAGGAAGAACGCCUGGUGGUUAAUACCCAUCAGGAAAGACAUCACUCACAGAAGAAGCACCGGCUAACUCCGUGCCAGCAGCCGCGGUAAUACGGAGGGUGCGAGCGUUAAUCGGAAUUACUGGGCGUAAAGCGCGCGUAGGUGGCUUGAUAAGCCGGUUGUGAAAGCCCCGGGCUCAACCUGGGAACGGCAUCCGGAACUGUCAAGCUAGAGGGCAGGAGAGGAAGGUAGAAUUCCCGGUGUAGCGGUGAAAUGCGUAGAGAUCGGGAGGAAUACCAGUGGCGAAGGCGGCCUUCUGGACUGACACUGACACUGAGGUGCGAAAGCGUGGGUAGCAAACAGGAUUAGAUACCCGAGUAGUC
rnacentral:rRNA from 1 species